AGAGUUUGAUCCUGGCUCAGGACGAACGCUGGCGGCGUGCCUAAUACAUGCAAGUAGAACGCACAGUUUAUACCGUAGCUUGCUACACCAUAAACUGUGAGUUGCGAACGGGUGAGUAACGCGUAGGUAACCUGCCUGGUAGCGGGGGAUAACUAUUGGAAACGAUAGCUAAUACCGCAUAAUAUUAAUUAUUGCAUGAUAAUUGAUUGAAAGAUGCAACUGCAUCACUACCAGAUGGACCUGCGUUGUAUUAGCUAGUAGGUGAGGUAACGGCUCACCUAGGCGACGAUACAUAGCCGACCUGAGAGGGUGAUCGGCCACACUGGGACUGAGACACGGCCCAGACUCCUACGGGAGGCAGCAGUAGGGAAUCUUCGGCAAUGGACGAAAGUCUGACCGAGCAACGCCGCGUGAGUGUAGAAGGUUUUCGGAUCGUAAAGCUCUGUUGUAAGAGAAGAACGGGUGUGAGAGUGGAAAGUUCACACUGUGACGGUAUCUUACCAGAAAGGGACGGCUAACUACGUGCCAGCAGCCGCGGUAAUACGUAGGUCCCGAGCGUUGUCCGGAUUUAUUGGGCGUAAAGCGAGCGCAGGCGGUUAGAUAAGUCUGAAGUUAAAGGCUGUGGCUUAACCAUAGUACGCUUUGGAAACUGUUUAACUUGAGUGCAGAAGGGGAGAGUGGAAUUCCAUGUGUAGCGGUGAAAUGCGUAGAUAUAUGGAGGAACACCGGUGGCGAAAGCGGCUCUCUGGUCUGUAACUGACGCUGACGCUCGAAAGCGAGGGGAGCGAACAGGAUUAGAUACCCUGGUAGUCCACGCCGUAAACGAUGAGUGCUAGUGUUAGCCCUUUCCGGGGCUUAGUGCCGCAGCUAACGCA
rnacentral:rRNA from 1 species